rnacentral:rRNA from 1 species
UACGGGGGGAGCAAGCGUUGUUCGGAUUUACUGGGCGUAAAGGGCGCGUAGGCGGCCAUCGCAAGUCGACUGUGAAAUCUCCGGGCUUAACCCGGAAAGGUCAGCCGAUACUGCGGGGCUAGAGUGCAGAAGGGGCAACUGGAAUUCUCGGUGUAGCGGUGAAAUGCGUAGAUAUCGAGAGGAACACCUGCGGCGAAGGCGGGUUGCUGGGCUGACACUGACGCUGAUGCGCGGAAAGCUAGGGGAGCGAACGGG